rnacentral:rRNA from 1 species
AUGCAAGUCGCACGAGAAAAGGCCCUUCGGGGCCUGAGUACAGUGGCGGAAGGGUGAGUAAUGCCUAGACAACCUACCCUCGUGUUGGGGAUAACAGCUGGAAACGGCUGCUAAUACCGAAUGAGGCCGUAGAGUUGCAUGACUUUUCGGUGAAAGGCGGGGAUCCUUCGGGACCUGUCGCAUGAGGAGGGGUCUAGGUCCUAUCAGCCUGUUGGUGAGGUGACGGCUCACCAAGGCUUUGACGGGUAGCCGGCCUGAGAGGGUGACCGGCCACACUGGGACUGAGACACUGCCCAGACUCCUACGGGAGGCUGCAGUCGAGAAUCUUCGGCAAUGGGCGCAAGCCUGACCGAGCGACGCCGCGUGGAGGAUGAAGGCCUUCGGGUUGUAAACUCCUGUCACGGGUUAUGAAAUCCUGGGGUGCCAAUACCACCCUUGUGUUGACAAAGGCCCGAGAGGAAGUCAUGGCUAACUCUGUGCCAGCAGCCGCGGUAAUACAGAGAUGGCAAGCGUUGUUCGGAAUUACUGGGCAUAAAGGGCACGUAGGCGGACCUGUAAGUCAGGUGUGAAAUCCCUCGGCUUAACCGAGGAAUUGCGCCUGAUACUGCGGGCCUUGAGGGCAGGAGGGGAGAGUGGAACUCUUGGUGGAGCGGUGAAAUGCGUAGAUACUAAGAGGAACGCCGGUGGCGAAAGCGACUCUCUGGCCUGCUUCUGACGCUGAGGUGCGAAAGCUAGGGGAGCAAACAGGAUUAGAUACCCUGGUAGUCCUAGCCGUAAACGAUGGGCACUAAGUAGAGGGGUUUU